CCCCUUUGAAAAGCACUCGUUGGGCCUUUCGCUAAAGGCCCACGGAGCCGUCAAGAAAGGGCGAAGUAAAAACCCAGCUUCUGGGUGAAGCGACAGCAUGUUGCGCUGUCUCGCUUCAGCCGGUGGUGUGACAAGG